rnacentral:rRNA from 1 species
UCCGUAGGUGGAUAAUUAAGUCAGAGGUGAAAUCCUGCAACUCAACUGUAGAAUUGCCUUUGAUACUGGUUAUCUUGAGUCAUUAUGAAGUGGUUAGAAUGUGUAGUGUAGCGGUGAAAUGCAUAGAUAUUACACAGAAUACCGAUUGCGAAGGCAGAUCACUAAUAAUGUACUGACACUGAGGGACGAAAGCGUGGGGAGCGAACAGGAUUAGAUACCCUGGUAGUCC